AUUGAACGCUGGCGGCAGGCCUAACACAUGCAAGUCGAACGAGUGGCGGACGUGUGAGUAAUGUCUGGGAAACUGCCUGAUGGAGGGGGAUAACUACUGGAAACGGUAGCUAAUACCGCAUACCAUCGGAUGUGCCCAGAUGGGAUUAGCUAGUAGGUGGGGUAAAGGCUCACCUAGGCGACGAUCCCUAGCUGGUCUGAGAGGAUAACCAGCCUCACUGGAACUUAGACACGGUCCAGCCUCCUACGGGAGGCAGCAGUGGAGAAUAUUGCACAAUGGGCGCAAGCCUGAUGCAGCCAUGCAGCGUGUAUGAAGAAGGCCGUCGGGUUUUAAAGUACUUUCAGCGGUGAGGCGUGACCCGCAGAAUAAGCACCGGCUAACUCCGUGCCAGCAGCCGCGGUAAUUC
rnacentral:rRNA from 1 species